GUGUACGGUUUGAUUUUUUUUCGUGUAGAGGAAAAUUUCCAUUCCAAUUGCACGCCAUUAAUGCGCGCCAUAUUUUACAUUUCUUGUGGUCGAAACCGGGUUAUCCCGGACAAUUUGUGCGGGAAACACCUGAAAGAUUAUGAUCGGAAGACGACGGCACGGAUUCUGAUGAGGCAGAUGGAGAGAGCGGAGUAUCACAGAGUUAGUGCUUCAAACUUGGGCGCAUGCAAUGGUACAACCCGUGCUAAUUGUUCGCACAUCCGGAGCCUGGGGUUAGAAUGUGUGCCAGAACCGUCUCCCGAGAAUGGUUCCGCGUGAGGUAGUCAGUCGGUGCGCAGUGCAGAUCAAUAAAAUCAAUCAAAUUAGUGCCAAUUUAGUGUAUCACAGUGUACUAAAUUUUCUUUUCUUAAAACUCCGACUAUCAACCGUGAUGUGUGAAUCAAGUGUUCCAAAUAAAGAAUAAAUGUAAAUAAAUAAUUAAUUUUUAAA